UUCUUAAUUAUUAAGCUGAUGAAAAUAUUAUAUGUUGAAUUAGGAGCUGAUUUACCAAAUACAGUUUUUUUAAACAUUGAAGAGAAAGACGUGGUUUCUUUUAGAAAGUUUCUGUUUUAAAAUACAGUCUGAAGAUACAUAAAGAAGGGAGAAGCACUGGCAGAUGCUGAACAUAAUGGCCCUCGUCUCGUAACAGACAAGAAGUGUAAGCUCCCUUAACAGGCUGUUAUUUGGGAACUAACCAACAGACACUGUGUGAGGCUCUUCUACAAGCUGAAUAUCUGAAGAUGUUAAAACCUCCCUGUGGGAUUGGCCUUCUUUUUUCUUAAUUUUGAGAUGGAAAAACACUGUUUUGAAUUUCUUCUUCGCUCCAGUUGGCCAGCUUCGUUGAAAAAAGGAGCGAUGUUUCCAGCCUCAUGGAUGAUCCAAGGAAGUUAUUCCUCAGCUAUCAGGAAGAAGCUGGAGCCAGUGGAAAUGUUACAACCCUGAAAGGGGAAUAAUGGAACAGGACUGAAGCUUUUAGGAUUAUAGCACUACCUCCCAUACAACUGAAAGGAAAUGGGUAACUAUGUGUGGAAACAGAGAGGCGGUGGUGACCAGUGUGCUCCAGACCUCGUCCUUUGUGCUGCUGCCUCUGGGCCGUGGAGUCCCAGCAAACACCUCAUACAGGUCUGCUUGCUUUGGAUUGCUUCUUCACAAAGGGGGAAGUGUGUUUCUUCCCUUGUCAUUUACCUUUUCCAAUGUUUCAUUUCACUAAUCUCUCUUCUUUUCUUAACAGCUUUACUUCCUUCAUUGUUGUUUUUUUCUUUACUUUAUUUCUAAUUGCCUCAUCUUGAAUGAGCUUCCAGUGUCUAAAAUUAGAAUUCUUCAGAAUCCUAAGAAGAUCUAAGGAGACAUUAAAUGUGUUCCACUUUCCAAAAGACAAAUCUGGAACAUUUAAAUUGUUUACUAAAGGUCAUAUAAUACUAGGAUUCAAAGUUCUUUACCAUUGGGACAUUUUAUCUAAGGAAUGAUUGGGAUUAUAUACAUCACACUACCUUUCAACCAGAAAUUUAUCAAGGAAAACCUGCCUUAUAGUAUGACCUUUGGCUUUUAUAAUUCAGAUUGAAAGAAUGCUUGCCCAUUUUGCCACUGAGCACAUUAGCAUCCUGUAUCUUCACAAGGUUAAUUUAAUGGACUGCUAUGCAUAUUGAUGAAUACUUCUGUGUUUUCUCAAAGUCACCAUAUUAGAAUUUCUGAAUGUUCAUUAGCCACAUAUGCAAUAGGAGUAGUCUAAAGUCAAUGAAUUUCUGUUAUGCCCUUUCUAAAACUGAUAUUAAAAUUGCAUAUGCAAAUUUAAGUUCAAAUUGUUGUGAUAAAAGUAGACAUGUAAGUAAAAAAACUCAUUAUUUUCAUUUUUCAAAGUUACUAAGUUCAUUAGUGGUUAUUUAUUGGGUUAAGACAUUGAAUCAGAAAAUGGGCCUCUGUCUUUCUCUGAGUAUUCAAGUUUAGAAAUGCCUUACUUAAAAUGCAAGAAAUUUCCAGUAAGUUUCCAGGCUGCAGAGAUACAUUAUUUAUGUUAACAAACUGGAAAGAGUUCAUUUGCUUUAAUAUUUAUAAGGGAGAUCAAUGAGACAUACAAUGCAGUAUUACUAAGCUCUAAAACCACUACAAAACAUAGAUUCAAUUAAUGUAAUGUUAACCAAAGAAUACACUCAGCAAUUCAUAAAUAAAUAAUUAUAAUAAAUGUCCAGAUUUUUAAGACUCUUUGGAAUACCCUACUGAAGCCAGCCAUUAAGCAAUGUAUUCUGCUAUCUAAAUCCAUUAAAAAAUGUAAUUUUAAGGAAAAUUACAUGCAGUCUUGCUCAGAGCAGAUUACAUAUUUUAAAGCUAUAUUGGUUUUUAAGCCUUUGAAGAUAAUAAGGAGGUUCAUUAAGCUAUUACAUUUGAGUUACUUGAAAUAUUGAAUAACCUCAGAAUGACCCAAUUCUAAAAGGUUUAAUUGGCAUGAGCUAUGCCAUGCCUUUUAAAUAAAAUAUUUUGUAAGGUAUUCAUAAAAACACUAAUUAUCAAAGCAUGUUUACAAUAGAUAAAUAAAAGUGAAAAAUUGCACUGGUAAACAAUUUCAGAAUAAAAAUGUUUGUAAAUAAAGUAUCUGAAUCAAAUGAAUUUAAAGGCUAGGGCAUUUGGAAAUACAAAAAACACAAUAUAUUUCUUUCAUAUAAAACUUUAAUAUGGGCCAGAAAAAAUAAUUUUGUUUUUUUCCCUUCAGUACAAGAUGUGAUUUAGGAGUAUAUUAAACAUUAACCAGCAAUUAAUAAGAAUUUUGAAAAAAAUUCAAAGGAAGUGAAAGGACUUUUUCUUAAAAUAUUUAUUUUAAAUAUGAUAUAGGAAUAGCACUAUGAUCAACAUUAUUCAAAUCUGCAUGUAGUGACUUGCAAAGCAGGGAGACUGAAAUCUAGGGAUUCAGUUCGAAUGCCCUACAGCUAUCUAAUCAAGCACAAGAGUUGCCAAUCAGCAUCACUUCACAAUUGACAUACGUUUUAAUUUCAUUUAUUAAAAAACUGUAUUAAAGCAUUGCAAAUGAAUCAGUUCAGAUAUUAAAGUGCAUGUAUCAGUCAGCUCAAGGGACUUUUAAGCUUUAUCAAAUACUUUGAUCUUGAUCAUAUUGAAAUUCCUUCCAGCAGUUUAUGAAAUGUUCAUGAAUUCUUGGAUGAAGACUAACAUAAGUGUUUAGAGUUAACUUAUAUUUGGGAAUUCUUUGUACAGUUGAUAUCAAUAGGUUUUUGCAAAAAACAUUAUGACUAAUUUUUUAAUUACCAUGUAAAAUGUUAAGUAUUAUAAUUAAGUAUAAUAUUCAGAUGAGAGUCACCACAUUUUAAAAAUGUAGUAAUAAAUGUUGUGUAUACCCUUCCAUAUUGAUUGGAUCCUUGCAAGUUAUUUCUUUCCCUGAAACUUUGAAUUUGUAGGAUAGAGAACGCAUGGUUUCUUUUGACUAUAAAAUAGUGUCAUAUUAGAAAUUAGGUGUUCUGUUGCUGUUGAUAAUUUGUACUGGUUCUUUUUUUUUUUUUUUUUUUUUACUGGUUCUAAAUUAUCCCAAGUGAUGAAAUUAUUUUCAUUGGUUUACUGACUUAGAAAAGCUCAAUUGAUAGUUAGCUCAAAUCAUGAAGCAAAAUGCUUUUGAUUUUUGAGAUAUUGAAUAAUUCAACAUAUUUUCUUAGUAAAAAGAACACUGAUAGAAAUAAAGGAAGCAGCUAUGCACUAGAGACAGUUUUAAACACACAGUCUCCAAAAAUGAAGACAUUUGUAUGCCUCUGAUAGCACUGAUUAAGUGGCCCAUCUCUGUUCCAGUUGGGGUACAUAAAAUGAAUGUAAGUGCUGUUAACAUAUGAAAAUUCACUUGUGCUGGUAAUUAUUGAAAGAAAAAGAAAAACACAGAACACUUAACAUUUUUUGAAAAAAGAAUUCACUGAAGAAGGUUUGUUUCUAUCUUCAUUCAACUGCCCUCUUCAUCAGCCAUUCCUACAUUCCAGAAGGCUAUAUACUUGACACAUCUAUUAUCUCUUACUAUCAGAUGCCAGGGAGACUCUGUAUAUUCAAAGCUUACAUGUUGCAUUAUAAAGCAAUAAUAUUUACUAUUUAUUUGUUGUUGUGGAUUUGGAUCUAUAUCAUGGCUUCACAACCAUAUGACUAACAAUAUUUUGUUUGGCAUGGGGAAAACACACUGCAAUUCUUGCAAUUUCUAUCAUGAGAAAAAAGGGCAAGUAACACACAUUUGUUAAAAUAAAAAAGUUUAGUGAAAACUGUUUUAUUUAGUUUUUUGGUUCUUUGAAAGUUGAUUUGAGGUCUUCUGCAAUUAGAAUAAUUUAUAGAUUUUGAAGUUUGAUCAAGUCAGAAGGAAAAAAAUCUUCAGUCUGAAUCUAGCAAGUAAGAAUGCCUAGUCUAUAAAAAUUAGAAGAAAAACACAACCAUAAUAAAACCAAAAAUAAGAUGAAAUUCUGAAAAUAAUGGAAUACAUAAAAAUUUCUAGGACACAGGGGUGACUAUGUGACUCAGUUGAUUAAGCAUCUGACUCUUAAUUUGGGCUCAGGUCAUGACCUCACGGUCAUGGGAUAGAGCCCCAUGUCGGGCUCUGCACUGAGCAUCAAGCCUGGUUGGGAUUCUCUCUCUCCCUCUCUCUCUUCUCCUCCUCUGUUCCUGUUCUUGCUCUCUCUCUCAAAAUAAAUUUAAAAACCUACAAAAAAUCCAGGACACAAUUUAAUUCACACAGUACAGGAAACUUGGGGAUUACACAAAUAUUUUCUUACUUUAAGAAACCAGCUUAAUAUAAGAGCUAUAAUGUCACUUACCAGACACAGCUCCUCUUAGCAAUGAAAUACCUUGAUUUAUUUCUCAAGUUGAUGUUCUUAUAUAAGACAACAUUUAUUUAAAAUUACAGAGGUACUAACAAGUAACGUGUUGGUCUAACUCAUUCAAUUAUUGUGCAGUCUAUUUUUAAAGGGGAUAUAGGAUUUAUUCACAAACAUGUGUGCACAUCCCCCACUGUGUAGAAAAUCAGGAGUCAUCAUAAUGAUAAUCUUGAUGAUUAAGAAGUCAGUUGAUAAUAUCAGCUGACAAUUGAUAAUAUAAUUUAUCUAUUCAGAAAUAUUUCCCAUGAGUCAUGGGACAGAACUCUGGGGAUAAAUUGUUUAUCUCAGCCUUCUGUACAAUGCAAAACUGACUGAUAUAAUGAAAUUUGACCCCCGUGUAAGCUACUUCUAUAGACAAACUCUAUCACAUGGUUGGCAAUCUGAAGUGAAAUACAAUCAAUUUCUUCAAUUCAAAAAAUAGAAUGACAGCUUUUCUAUCUUCUUGUUUGGACUAGAAACCAUACAUGGCUCAUUUGCCAGGGGACAUGAUGUUGAGCUAACUGCUUUUGAGUCCCCGCCAAAAGCUCCAUUUUCAAGAUUAUAUUUGGUAGUCAGUGGACCGUGGUAAAAAUUCAUUGUUGUAGGUUUUAAGCUAUUUUCUUUAUAUUUUAAAUUUGAUUACCAAGGACAUACCUGUUUUCUAGAGAAAGUUUAAAACUCUUCUAAAAAACAAAUCCAAACCUAUCAUGAUCUGAUAUAGAUUUUUUUUUUAAUUGCUGCACAUUUAAAAUAGAAAUAUCUUCCCUUCCUCACUAAAGUCAGCUGCUGGUGCAUCCUGGCCCUGUGCUCUCCCACUGCUUUGGCAGAUGCUUGCAGUCCACAACAGGGGACACCUAUUGAUCACAUGGCUCUGGUGGUCGGGUUGGGGGUGCAUUUCUGGGUCCUAAGGGACUGAAACAGAGAGACUGUUCUUGGCAGGCUACUAUCCCAGGGCACUUCAUAGCUUGCAGACUGAAACAUAUCCCUAGUCUUUCCGGAAAAAAAGUCCUAUUUACUCUUUGGAGCAUCUAGAGGCUAUGGAGGUGUUCUCAGAGAACACAGAUGAAGGCUGUCAUCUUUGUUGUCUCCCUUGGUUUCACUAUUGCUCACAGGUACCCUCCAGAAAGGAGCUUAUCUGAAGCCCAAUCGUGUAUCUGAUAAGGGGCUAAUAUCCCAAAUACAAAAAGAACUCAUAUAAGUCACCAGCAAAAUACAAACAAUCCAAAUGAAAAUUGAGCAGAGGAUCUGAAAGAUAGUUUUUCAAAGAAGACAUACAGAUGGCCAACAGGCAAGUGAAAAGAUGCUCAACAUCACUAAUCAUUAGGGAAAUGCAAAUCAAAACCACAAUGAGAUAUUACCUCACAGCUGUUAAAAUGGCUAUUAUCAAAAAGAAAAGAAAUAACAAGUAUGGGCAAGGAUGUGGAGAAAAUGGAAAGCUCAUACAGUGUUAGUGAAAUAUAAAUUGUUGCAGUCACUGUGGAAAACAGUAUCGAGGUUCCUGAAAAACAUUUACAGGAGAACUGUCAUAUGAUCUAGCAAUGCCACUUCUGAGUAUUUAUCCAAAGAAAACAAAAACACUAAUUUGAAAAGAUAUAUGCACUCUUAUGCUCAUUGCAACAUUAUUUAUAAUAUCCGAGACACGGAAACAACCUAAGUGUCCUCUGAUAGAUGAAUGGAUAAAGAAGAUGUGGUAAAUAUAUACAGUGGAAUACUACUCAGCCGCAAAAAGAAUGAAAUCUUGCCAUUUGUGAAUACACAUGGACCUUGAGGAUAUUAUGCUAAGGAAAUAUGUCAGGCAGAGAAAGACAAGUACCAUAUGAUUUCACUUAUAUGUGGACUCUAAAAAACAAAACAAACUAAUAAGACAAAACCAAAAUCAUAUUCAAAGAUGCAGAGAACAGAGUGGUGGUUGCUGGGACUGGGGUGAGGGGUUUGGGGUGCUUUUGGAAAAUGAGUCAAGGGGAUCAAGAGGUAUAGACUUUCAAUUAUAAAAUAAAUAAGUCAUGGGGAUGUAAUGUACAGCCUGGUGACUAUAGUCAAUAAUAUUAUAUUACAUAUUUAAAACUAGCUAGGAGAGUAAAUUUUAAAAGCUCUUCUUCGCACAAGAAAAAUGUUUUUAUAACUUUGAUGCUAGAUGGUAACUACACUUAUUGGUGAUGAUUUUUCAGUGUAUACAAAUAUUGAAUCAUGUGGGGGUGCCUGGGUGGCUCAGUCAGGUAAGCAUCUGACUUUGGCUCAGGUAAUCUCACAGUUCAUGGGUUCAAGCCCCAUGUUGGUCUCUGUGGUGACAGAUCAGAACCUAGAGCCUGCUUCAGAUUCUGUGUCACCCUCUCUCUGCCCCUCUCCUGCUCAUGCUCUCUCUCUCUCUCUCUCAAAAAUAAAUAAACAUUAAAAAAAUAAUAAUUUAAAAAUACUGAAUCAUGUACACCUGAAACUUAUACAUCUCAACUUUACCUCAAUAAAAAAAAAAUAGCUUUAGCUUCACUGUUAAGGAUGUAGUCUAUUGUCAGAUACAAUGACCCUGAGAAAAGGAUUCAUAUGAUACGUUCCUCUUAAUACUAGUAUUAGUCCAAUUUUUUCCUCUAAAAAGACUUAUAGGAUUAACUAUAAGAAGCUAACAGGAAUUUUUUCUAUUUAUUAUUUUCUGCCUUAUGCAGGACUCCAGUAAAUCUCCAAGUUAAAUAUAAUAUUCAAUUGCACUAACAAGAUUAUCUUCAGUUGCUGCUCAUACAACUAUCCCGACUUUCUUGGUGCUGUUGUCUUUCUAUAAAGCUAACUUCCCAAAUAUACAAAGAUAUAAAGAUACACAGCUAUACAUAAAUACAGAUAGGAAGACACUAUUUUAAUGACUAGGUAAAUGCAUAAUAUAAUGAAUAAUAUGUUACUGUGCUCUUCCAAAAAUAAUUAAUGAAAAAUAAAAAUUUCCCCAUAGAACUCAGAAUAUGUUGCCUCAGCAUCUUAGCAAUUCAGAAAAGAUAUUAUGAAGGGGUCAUUUUCAAGCUGUGUUCCGAAAGCACUUAGGGCAUUUUAAAAUAAAUUGUAGUCCAAUAUUGCUGACAUUCAGGAUGAAAGGGGAAUGGGGAGAAUUUAAAGUGAGGGAGAUAAGAAAGGAUAAUCCGUCAUGGGCCACUGCUUGAAAAGCUUUAUAUGGGAAGAUACAGGGCAAACUGCUGCCCCCAAGAUUGGAGAAACAGACAGGAGAAUCCGGGGGUUUCAUCUUACCAGAGCAGACUCAGGAGUGGAAACCACUGCAGGAACCAGCACAGGAGAAAACCAGAGCUGUAACUGUCCUCCUGCUAGAGGAGGACAGUGAGGACAACUCAGAGUUGAAAACUCCAGGGGGACACAGUCUUAAGAAGACUCCCACAGUACUGUGGGAAUGACCUCCAGGAGCUCAACCAGAUAGAUUCCCAGAGUAAGACUCUGAGAGAAAAGUACCCCCUGCUUCCUGUAUGUAGAGGAGAAAAGGAACCAUUUUGAAAUACAAAAGAGCUCUCGGUAUUUAACAAGGUCUGCCCUCAGGAGAAACUAGUUAACCGGAGUCUGACCUGUUGGGUAGUACCAGAGCCUAAGUAACCUGGGAAGCAGGAGGUAUAAGGUAAAUUAUAAAUAUUAAACUCUUCUAAAAAAUAUAGUAUUUAUAAUGAAAAUAACAACGACCACCUGUAUGUCACAUUAGAAAAUGUGUAUUUUAUUCUAUAGAUUAGUAUGUAGAAGAUACCAUUUUUUCAGGAGCACCUGGGUGGCUCAGUUAGUAAGCAUCUGACUUCGGCUCUGGCCAUGAUCUCAUGGUUUGUGAGUCUGAGACCCUCCUUAGGCUCUGCACUGACAGUGUAGAGCCUGCUUGGGAUUCUCUGCCUCUCUCUCUCUCUCUUUUAAAAUUAAUAAAUAAACUUAAAAAAAUAGAAGACAAUACUUUCUCAGAAUACAAAAUAUACUUCCUUGAGAAAGUCAAGCAAUACAAAAGUUAUAUAUUAAUGAAAACUUUGGAUCCCACUUCCUACAAAAUGGCAGAUUAGAAAGUCUGAAAACCUUCAGUAGAAAUAAAGGUUUCGACGGGGAAUAUAAUAAACAUAAGUAAAAUCAAUUUGCAUUCACAGGUAUUUUUGAUAAAUCACAAGGUGAAAAGGAGUAUGGAUGAUUCCACAGUGAAAAGCUAGUACUAAAGCCCAGGGUAUGUUAAGUGUACAUGGUGAUACGGAGAAUACAGAGCUUUGUGUGUGAAAAGCUGGCCAGCAUUCAGAAGGCAAGGCACUAGACCUGCACAACAUAUGCACUUGGAAAUAUAUCCUCCAGCUAAAGCUAGAAUUUCAUGGAGAACAUGGGUUAGGCAAAGAAAAUCAACUGCAAGCAAAACAAAAACAAAAACAAAAAACACAGCAACUAAAUAUAUUGAUGAUAAAAGUAAAAAGAAAGAAAGAAAAUGAAGAAAGGAAAAAAGAAGAGAGUAAAGGAAGACAGGAUAGAGGAAGGAAGGAAGAAGAGGAAAAUAAGACUCCCUAGUAUUUAGUAGCAGCACACCAAUUAUUCAUGCAAAAAGCCAUUCUAGGUUGAUAGCAAGUAGUGUCUUACAGAAGUAAAGCAAAACUUUUGAAGAAAAAGAUCCUUUGCACAAGUCCUUCGGUAAUUUAUAUGAGUCAAAAAAAAAGGACCCAAACAUAAAACCAUUGUAAAACAACUGCAGAGAAAAGUCACCUGAGUAAAAAAAAUUAGAAACUGAAUCUUCAAUACUCCCAAGAAAUUUUGACAAUGAAAUUAUGUUGUGAUUAUAUAACUGCCAUGUUUAAAGCAUUUAUAGAAAUAAAGAAGCAAUAGAAAAUUAUCAGAAUGACCAGGCUAAUCUGCAAAAGAACCACACAUGAGAGGUUCACAGGGAAAACAUGCAAUGCUGACUGGGAUGGUCGGCACCUCUAUUCCCACACGGAUGUUCACAAUGAAAACAUAUUCACAAGGAAAUGUGACUGUUCACGUGGAAAUGUAUGUGGUGCAAUGGUGAGAGCCAAUGUUGAUCAUACCCCAGAUCAUACCCCAAUGCUCCCAGAGUUGAAAAAAAAAUUGAAAUUUCAACCUCAUCUGUAAUAUGAUCACAAUUUUGAAAUAUAGAAAGUACAGAAAUUUUAUAAACAAGGCUCAUAAAGCUUUCUUUGCCAAUGGUAGCAUUUGGUAUAGUUCCCAUAUUUUCCUAUGUCAAUUUAUAUAUUUCCUAUGAUAGGACUGAUACUUAAAUUCAUUUUUAAAUGUCUGCAUCAUAUAGCAUUGAGUACACCUUAAAUUACUGAAAUAUUUUUUGGACAUCAAAAGUCGCAUUUUAUGCAUAUAGAUUUUUCUAUAUAUUAAGAUAUUGUCUCUUGACAGAUGCAGAUAUCCAUAUAACGAUGAGCAUUAUAACUGACUUAGAUUAUAAAAAUAUUUUUCUUCCUUACAAUACAUCACAAAUUUUUUUGAGGCUUCCCAAAUUUGUUAUGCAUCACUAAAAUAUGUAAAAAAUUGUUUCUUCAUACUCCUGCUCAGACAUAUCAUGGCUUUCUUUGGUCUUGUUUUGUUUUGUUUUCUAAUUUGAUCAGAAGAAAAUUUCUUGGGAUUAGAGAUUUAAUUAAUAUUUCUUUAGAAGAAUUGAAGUUUUUACACCACUAUAAUUAAUUGUCUAAUCAUGCUCAUUGCUUAGAAAAACAUCUUAAGAACAACAAUUUCCAUAAAACUAACGGAAUGUUGAUAUAAAAAUCAUCCAAUCUAUCCAGACACUGGCAAACUGCCCAGCCAAUGACACCACAUUCUGUGUUAUUUGUCUUCUUCCCCCUGCUAAAUGGAAAAAGACAUUUUACUUUUUCUCUAUUAGUUAUAUACUUAUCAUCACUCCCACCAACACAUACAUACACUUCUGUCACCUGGUCCAGUGAUUUGCACUCAAUCAAUGUUUGUUAAAUACAGUCUGCCAAUUGAAAAUAUGAACAAAUACAUCUCUCCUGCAAUGAUUGUCCAAAGCACAUUGUUGUGAAAUAUAAGCACUUCUGAUACUUGGUAAAGUGAAUUUCAGACUAUUGUUUGAAAUAUAAAAAGAUGACCUUCAAUUUCUGUUUUUUCUCAAUUUCUUGGUUUUAAUGUAGCAUGGAAAGAUAGAUGUUAUGUUUCUAUGGAGCUUGCUGAAUCUUUAAGUAUAGAACUCCUAAAGAGCAAGCUUUCCAAAAUCAUGGUCCUUAAUAUGCUCCUUGAAGUGUGAAUUAAGCACAUAAUCAGUAUAUCUAGGUAAUAGUCACAUUCAAUAAGCUAUAUUUUCCAGGUUUUUAUGUUUACUAAAUCCAUUUUUUUCCCUUUCAGACAGGAUAAGUAUAAAAACAAAGAUUAUGAGAAUACCUUUAGUAGCAACCCCAUAUUAAUGCAAAAUCAUUUUUCCUAUUUCUAAAAUAAUUGCUUUUUGUGUUUUCAUUGGGAGAGAUGCAAAUAUGAUUCAAAAAUUAAAGAUUUGGGGGAGAAAGAAGAAAAGGAUAGAAGGAGAAAAGAAAAAUAAGAGGAAUCAUUAUAGCACUUCUUAGAUGCAUAUAAUAUAAAAUGUGUUACCUUUUUAAUUUAAGAGAUAAGAAUACAAUUCAAGGUAGAUUUGUUAACCUCCAAGUAACUAAAUUUAUGGCUUAAAGUAAUUGAAAAUCUGUAAAUGACAACCUUUGUUAUAUUGUAUGUAAUUUUUAAAAAAAAUAUACUUUAAAAGGACAAAAUAAUGAUUUUUUAGUAUUAAGUGAAUAAAUGUAUCAUUAAAAAUGAGCCGUUCCGUUCUUUUUUCAUUGCUCUCAGAUUUACUAUAAUUUCCUCAUAUGAAAUCUUUACCUCCCUGAAUAACCACUAAGAAUUUAUUUACAACAAUGUAAGUUCUUAUCUUUACUCCCAGAAUAGAUUUUACUCUUUGUAUUUCUUCCUAGUCUUCACUGAGGUGUCUUUUAUUAUGGGACCGAUUAAUUAAAAAUAUUUGGUCAGGGUCAUAUAUUUAAUUCUAUUGACUUUCAACUACUUAAAGAUACAUUGGCUGAAGACUUGUAUGUAUGUGUAAGAAAAUGUUGACAACUUUAUAUCAAACUGCUUCACACAUCCUACAAGAUAAUCAAAAAACAGAGAACACUAAAAUUCAAUUUACAUGUAACUGGGGAAACCAACACUUGAAAAUAGCAGACGCAAGUGUGGAUCCCAUUUAUGAAGAGUAGCAAAUUUUAAGAAGUCUACAAAAGAGAAGGUUGUAUAAAGGAACCCCUAAGAGUGGUGAAAUGUAAAUAAAACUACCCCCAGAGGCAGUAUCCUGCCCUAGGUAAGGACGCUGAGAAUGGAUCUGAUCUGGUGCAUCAAAAAGAAAGGGUGUGAAAAGUACACAACUCCAGAGGAAACAAUAUACAGAAGCACAUCCAGAAACAAGGAGGAAAAAGAGAGGGGUUUGGUGGUGAAAAGGGAGAAGUAAUCAUGCUGUUCAAGUUCAUAAACCUUUGAAAACAAGACAGUAUCAUUGAAUCACAAGCAGAAGGCACAAUGACCAGCCCCCCCACUCACCAGCACACACACACACACACACACACACACACACACACACACACACACACAAAAGUACCAUUUAUUAAAGAGCUGAACUUCACUGCAACUCCAAAAUGGAAGGCUCUUAAAGAAAAUAAAUUCACCAUCCCAACUCCUUACCUCACUCCACCCAAUAUGUUACUGCUGGCAUAAAAAAGCCUGCAAAACUUUUUAUGAACAAUAAAAAACAAUUAUUUUCACGCAAAAUUACUGUAAGAAUUAAAAAAGUGCCAGUCAAUAAUUUUAGGUAUGAAAAAAUAGAACUUCCUGCUGGCAGGGGACAGGUAUGGAGAGGACCUGUCAAAGAGAGGUAAAUGACACAUCCUUUCUGCCUUUAAUGAAAAAAAUUAAAUAUGAAACUAGAUAUGUGAAAGAAACUCACCUAAUUUGAUAUAAAAACUCCUGACUGUAGGGGCAUCUGGGUGGCUCAGUUGGUUGAACGUCCGACUUCAGCUCAGGUUAUGAUCUCAUAGUUCCUGAGUUCAAGCCCUGUGUCGGGCUCUGUGCUGACAGCUCAGAGCCUGGAGCCUGCUUCGGAUUCUGUGUCUCCCUCUCUCUUCCCCUUCCCCACUCAUGCUCUGUCUCUCUAUCUCUCAAAAAUGAAUAAACGUUAAAAAAAUUUUUAAAAAAACAACUCCUGACUGUAAUGUACAAGUAAAAAAAAAAAAAGAUAUGAGAUAAGAACAAACUGAACCAAAGAAAAACAACUGAAAAAAAAGACAUCAUCUCAGAGA